rnacentral:rRNA from 1 species
CCUACGGGAGGCAGCAGUGGGGAAUUUUCCGCAAUGGGCGAAAGCCUGACGGAGCAAUACCGCGUGAGGGAGGAAGGCUCUUGGGUCGUAAACCUCUUUUCUCAGGGAAGAAAAAAAUGACGGUACCUGAGGAAUAAGCAUCGGCUAACUCCGUGCCAGCAGCCGCGGUAAUAC